rnacentral:lncRNA from 10 species
GAGAGGCUCCCCUCAGCACCUGGCCCCACGGGGCCCGCCAAGUGGAGGGUGGGAGCCCUGGGGAUCCUCCCUGCCCCAGUGAGGUCUGUUAUGCAGCAUUUUUGAGGUCAAUAAAUUACAGCAAUAAAUAGCAAGGUGAGGUAGGGGGAGGGGGUCCUGGUAGAAAGUUAAAGUGGGGUGACUGAAGCCGGGGCAUCCUAGGAAGGGGGUCCUGGGCAGCCUCAGUUCCCACCGCUCAUGCCCACCCCCACCCCGGCGUGGAAUGUCAGACUGAGGCUCCAGUUAGGUCCCUCCCCAGCCCUCACUCCUGGCGUCUGAUUCACAGGUUCAGUAACAUCUGCCCCAACGGGGUUCUGGGAAAUAGGAGGACCUUGGUCCCUUUAGGGGGCAUGCCAGGGCUGAGAGCCCUUGUCUGCUCUAAGGCCUGGCACCUUUGGCUUUUGUCCCCCACGCCUGGGGGUGGACGGAUGCAGCCUCCUGCUCCCUGAGCCCUGCCCUCCGGCUGCCCAGGCCUCACCCCAACUCAGGAUGGCCGCAGGAGGGCAGGGGGUCAGCCUGCCCAGCGGCCCAGCCCGGAUCGCACUCCUGCACAGGGCCUGAGGUCCAGUGAAUACUGACGGAUUUUGGGAGUGGGUGGGCGGCCCGGUGCCCCCGAGUGGUGAUGAACGGUAAACACACAGGGCUGCCUGAGGUGGGGAAAGUUGGUGAGGGUCCGGAUCGUUCAUUUCACAGGCUGAGGUGUAUGGCUAUGCUGCGAGUCUCUGAGAUUCUUAUUUGCUUAAAGGUUCAUCUUUUCUCUUCCUUUUUUUUUUGCAAUCCUGGAGGAGCCCUUGCUGGGGCUCGGUCCGGCGGGAGCAUGCAGUGGCGGAGCCCGGCCUGCCACCCGCUCACUCGCCCCAAGUCUGAGAAAUAAAUACAUUCAUCACUGCACAAACAUAUUGAUACAAAAACAACACUGUUAAGAGUGUUUGCACCGUCUAUGUUGGUAAGGACCAGACCCAGUCAGCCCCUUCCGCUGCCUGGGGUGGGGUUAGGGGGCCCCAGGAGUGGGGACCCACCAGAGUCGACAGAGCUGCGCAAAGGUCCCGGCUUUUUGGCUUGAGUGGGACCCUCGCAUCAACCCAUCCCCAAGGGUCACGGGCAGAGCAGCAGGGGGACCCAAGCCCAGACUCGGGUCCUGUGGCCAGAACUGACGGCCAUCCCCGCGUAGGCUAGCUGGUCAGGACCAGCAUGGUCCGGCCAGAGGGCCUUGGGGGCUGGUCAGCACGGGCCCAAGCUCUUUGGUGCCAGCUGGGCUUGGAGGGGCCCUGGGAAUGGGGACGAGGGCUCAGGUGACUCCAGGGAGGCUUCCAAUCCCUCCCCCAGCCCCAGGGCUACCCUUCUCUGCCCGUGAGCCACUCCAGGGCCAACUCAGAAGGGUUUCCAGCAGCAGGGGAGGGUUCCCUGGACUGGCCUUACAGCUGCUGAGGUCUGAAACUGUAAAAGCUUAUGUAAACAAUGAGAUAAAUAUAUUAGCAUCUUUUUUCUGA